CGUGAGUGAUGAAGGUUUUCGGAUCGUAAAGCUCUGUUGUUAGGGAAGAACAAGUGCCGUUCAAAUAGGGCGGCACCUUGACGGUACCUAACCAGAAAGCCACGGCUAACUACGUGCCAGCAGCCGCGGUAAUACGUAGGUGGCAAGCGUUGUCCGGAAUUAUUGGGCGUAAAGGGCUCGCAGGCGGUUUCUUAAGUCUGAUGUGAAAGCCCCCGGCUCAACCGGGGAGGGUCAUUGGAAACUGGGGAACUUGAGUGCAGAAGAGGAGAGUGGAAUUCCACGUGUAGCGGUGAAAUGCGUAGAGAUGUGGAGGAACACCAGUGGCGAAGGCGACUCUCUGGUCUGUAACUGACGCUGAGGAGCGAAAGCGUGGGGAGCGAACAGGAUUAGAUACCCUGGUAGUCCACGCCGUAAACGAUGAGUGCUAAGUGUUAGGGGGUUUCCGCCCCUUAGUGCUGCAGCUAACGCAUUAAGCACUCCGCCUGGGGAGUACGGUCGCAAGACUGAAACUCAAAGGAAUUGACGGGGGCCCGCACAAGCGGUGGAGCAUGUGGUUUAAUUCGAAGCAACGCGAAGAACCUUACCAGGUCUUGACAUCCUCUGACAAUCCUAGAGAUAGGACGUCCCCUUCGGGGGCAGAGUGACAGGUGGUGCAUGGGUUGUCGUCAGCUCGUGUCGUGAGAUGUUGGGUUAAGUCCCGCAACGAGCGCAACCCUUGAUCUUAGUUGCCAGCAUUCAGUUGGGCACUCUAAGGUGACUGCCGGUGAC
rnacentral:rRNA from 2 species